UACGUAGGGCGCAAGCGUUGUCCGGAAUUAUUGGGCGUAAAGAGCUCGUAGGCGGUCUGUCGCGUCCGUUGUGAAAACUCGAGGCUCAACCUCGGGCUUGCAGUGGAUACGGGCAGACUAGAGUGCGGUAGGGGAGACUGGAAUUCCUGGUGUAGCGGUGGAAUGCGCAGAUAUCAGGAAGAACACCCGUGGCGAAGGCGGCUCUCUGGAACGCAACUGACGCUGAGACGCGAAAGCGUGGGGAGCAAACAGG
rnacentral:rRNA from 1 species